rnacentral:rRNA from 1 species
CGUAUAUUUAAGUUGUUGCAGUUAAAAAGCUCGUAGUUGGAUUUCGGGUGGGUUUCAGCGGUCCGCCUAUGGUGAGUACUGCUGGAGCCUUCCUUACUGUCGGGGACCUGCUUCUGGGCUUCAUUGUCCGGGACAGGGAUUCGGCAUGGUUACUUUGAGUAAAUUAGAGUGUUCAAAGCAGGCUUACGCCGUGAAUACUUUAGCAUGGAAUAACAUGAUAGGACUCUGCCCUAUUCUGUUGGCCUGUAGGAGUGGAGUAAUGAUUAAGAGGAACAGUCGGGGG